AAUUCUCUCUUUGGCUUAGGCUGGGUUGUACUGAGUUCUCUCCCUUGCGAACCAAAGAGCCCUAACUGCUGCAGUGACUUAGAGUUUUAUCUUAUAUGAAAGAUCCUGUAGGCUUCUCUACCGGAUUGGUCAAGAGAGCUUUCCAAACCUGAAACAAAGAAGAUAAAAUUGUGAAAUUGGCUUGAAAACUUUAUUUUCGCCUCCCUCGAUUCAAAGUGGAAGGGCUGGGCGGGAGUUAGCGGAGUGCUUCCUCUCAGGACAGCUGCGGGUCCCAGCGCAGAUCGGACCCUCCUCCUCUGCGCUAGCUCAGCUCGGGAAUGAAGUCUUCACGUGGAGAUCCACGGGAAUGGUUAUUUUUAGCACCCCCAGCCACAGAGCCCAGCAGGCCCGCAGAGGCCCUAAUGACGUACCCAGUUGGACGAGUGGAGAUCACAUCUCCUUCAGCAAAGAUACAUUUGAAGCAU